GGCGGCAUGGCCGAGUGUAAGGCGGGG
rnacentral:tRNA from 1 species